GCUAGUGGCAAUAGCACGUUAAAUGCAUCAGUUUCCAAUAGAUCACUGAAGUUAAGCAACGUUGUGCGUGUGUGGUAUCCACAUGGGUAAAUUGGUCUUUUUCAAGAAAAGUCGCGGGAUGUUCACA
rnacentral:rRNA from 1 species